rnacentral:tRNA from 1 species
GGAGGGGUGCGCUGAAUGGUAAGGCACUAGUUUCGAAAACUAGCGUCCGCAAGGACUUGCGAGUUCGACUCUCGCCCCCUCCG